rnacentral:rRNA from 1 species
AUUGAACGCUGGCGGCAGGCCUAACACAUGCAAGUCGAACGAGUGGCGGACGGGUGAGUAAUGUCUGGGAAACCGCCUGCUGGAGGGGGAUAACUACUGGAAACGGUAGAUAAUACCGCAUACCAUCGGAUGUACCCAGAGUGGAUGAGCUAGUAGGUGGGGUAAAGGCUCACCUAGGCGACGAUGUCUGGCUGGUCUGAGAGGAUGACCAGCCACACGGGAACUGAGACACGGUCCAGACUCCUACGUGAGGCAGCAGUGGGGAAUUUUGGACAAUGGGGGAAACCGUGAUGCAGCCAUGCCGCGUGUAUGAUGAGGGCCUUCGGGUUGUAAAGUACGUUUGGCAGAGAAGCGGUAUCUGCAGAAUAAGCACCGGCUAACUACGUGCCAGCAGCCGCGGUAAUAC